rnacentral:rRNA from 1 species
UAGAGUUUGAUCCUGGCUCAGGACGAACGCUGGCGGCGUGCCUAACACAUGCAAGUCGAACGAUCCCCCUCGGGGGAUAGUGGCGGACGGGUGAGUAACGCGUGAACAAUCUGCCCUGUACAAAGGAAUAGCCUCGGGAAACCGGGAUUAAAACCGUAUAACACUUUAGUAUCGCAUGAUACAGAAGUCAAAUAUUUAUAGGUAUGGGAUGAGUUCGCGUCUGAUUAGCUUGUUGGUGGGGUAAUGGCCUACCAAGGCGUCGACGGGUAGCCGGCCUGAGAGGGUGAUCGGCCACAUUGGGACUGAGACACGGCCCAGACUCCUACGGGAGGCAGCAGUGGGGAAUAUUGCACAAUGGGCGCAAGCCUGAUGCAGCGAC